CUACACUGAUGGUGCGUUCCAUGUUGUCUGGGAAGUGGCAAUUUCCGGGUUCACAGUGGAAACUUUUAAAUGAAACGCUCCCUUACGUCGGAUUUCCGACUUGGGAAGUCGGGAGAACCGCACUGCCCCGACUUCGUGAUCCAAGAAGGCUGUCGGGGUAUCAACAGUUAGUUCGUACUGUUUAUCAGCACUUCUGUGUUCUUGUGACUCAUAGAAAUGUUCGUACACAAAGUGCUGUCCAGCUGUCUGUGUUGCUACCGUGUUUAGUGUGAGUAAAUACCGCACAAUGCGUUGUUUUUAUCAACCGGCGUGACAGCAGCUAACCUGGCUGCUUGUAAACAACAACAGCUGCGUCAGGGACGUUUUCCGACUUCUUACUGCGAUGUGACGUGAUUCUCAGCUCCGACCUCCGUGCGGCUCUGAGAACAGAAAGGAAGCAGAAAGAGUUCAGUUAGAGUCCCAGAACUGAAGGCUGAGGCAGGCUGACUUCCUGUAAAUGCAGAGGGGAGGAGCAGCACUGAGAACAGGGAGGAAGCUGAAGCAGAAAGAGUUCAGUUAGAGUCCCAGAACUGAAGGCUGAGGCAGGACUGACUGAAGUCCAGAAGAUGAGUGUUUGUGUGGAGGAAGAGGAGGACGGAGCAGAGUCUGCAGGAUCCAGCUGUCUGUCUAUGAAGAGUGACUGGUCCAAAGGAAAACCUCCAGAGUUCAGUCCUGAACCUGGACCCUCAGACACAAAAGAGAGGAAGAGGAGUCCUGUUCCUGUGGAGGAGCAGCCGUCCAGCUGUGGACACUGGU